rnacentral:snRNA from 1 species
UAAUGUGAUGGGAAUUCUUCCCACACCACAUGCUGCCUCAUUGAUCCACAGGGUGGAUUCAGCUGACCUGGCUGGCUACGUAGGAGUUCCCUGUUUCUCUCACCACUCUCUCAGUGUACAUACUGAAACUGCCUGCUCUGGGAAAGAGGACCAUUUUCAGUGGAUGGAAUCCUAGCGGUUGUGCUCCCUGCUAAACUUCCAAACCAAUCAAGGAUAGAGGAAUGCAUCUGAGGAUCUU